CCACACCCAAACCCUAGAUCUAAAUAACAUUGAAACAACGUUGUUCAUCAUCUUCCUCACUGAGCUCGGUCCUCAACUCGCCUGGAACUCAGGCGAGUUCACUCAAAUGGGACCCCUCCCCUCCACGUCAUUUUAUUCCCAACGGUUUUUGUCAAAGUGGAACGAAUAUUCUCUCCGAAUUUUGCACGAUUUCUGUAUGAUAGAACGAUUUGCUAGAUGAAUGGGAGCCGUGGAUGGAUGUAAAUCGAUCCAUGUCUUCCAUUUGUCCCAAAAAUCAUUAAAAACGUGAAGAUUUUCGGAUAUUUAGGCAGAAACUUCGAGAUUUUUUGAGGGUUAUAUAUAUGAGGUAAACAUCUACUACCUCAUGUUGUUGGUUUUAUUGAUGUAUUAAAGAUUGUGAUGAGAUGACAUUGUUUGUUUAUCCGGCAAGAUUGUGUUUAAACUAGCUUGAAUGGUCAUUUGAUUUUAACAAUGGAAGAAUUAAAAAAUGUUCUUGGCUCUGUUGUGUUGUUUCGUGUUUCUAAAACUCAUAGCUACACACACACACUCAUUACAUUUAGUCAUUCAUAUGGUUUUCUAAGGUUAUUGUGUUGAUUUACUGAAAAGUGAGAUGAAGCCUUAUAAUUUUAAGUCGGAUUUUUAAGCUGAUGAAUCUAGAUGGAGGGUCUAAAUUGUUUUACUUCCCUCAUCAAGACAUAACAGAAUAUAUGUGUGUUUGGUUUUAGGUUCGGUUAAUCACUUCUUCUCCCUUUCUUAUCAGCUAUCUCUCCUAUUAGAACCCAUUCAUAUAUAAAAAGGCUCUUGUGUAAUUGUUCUGUUGCAUUUCUUCAUUUCUAUCCCAACCUAUAAUGCAGUCUAAUUUGGUAAAAAUGUAUGUUUAGAGCUGUUGGUAUUUGGAGUUUCCAUAAGAAGUGUACAUGCUAUCCUAUGCCUUUGUUGUCAUAGAUUCUUUUGGACAUUUUACAUGAGACGAGCUGAUCCUGAAUCUAGGUGUGUUCCUUAAAUAGAAAAGUAUCCAGGGGUUGUUUGAAUGUACGUGAUGUAUUAGAUUUUUUUUUAGAAAUUGGUUAUUUUUUGAUUUGGUUAGAUCUUUGCCUUGGCUAUUUCUUGUUUUAAAAGGUUCUAUAAGUUACCUAAAGUAGGUUCAGAAGUAAGAGUAUGUUUGAAUUCAUGUUCUAGCCCUAUGUUAGUUGACAGGUUUUUGCUGAAGAAAUGCAUCAUGUAUAGUUGACAAAUAGCUCCUCCUACUUUGUUUACUGUUGAACACUUUUAGUUUCUUUGUGAAUUGGAAUCCAUGUGUAGUGUCAGGAAAAUGUUGUUUCAUCUAGUAAGUUUGAGAUUGAAAUCAAUUGAAAUAUAUUAAAAA